GAAGAAUUGACGGUACCCCAGGAAAAAGCCCCGGCUAAAUACUUGCCAGCAGCCGCGGUAAAACGUAGGGGGCGAGCGUUUUCUGGAAUUUUUGGGGGUAAAGGGUGCGUAGGGGGUUCAUGAAAUCGGGGUGAAAACCCCAGGUCAAAUGCGGGGGUGCCUCUGAAACCAUCGGAGUUGAGGGCUGGAGAGGGGAGUGGAAUUUUCGGUGUAGCGGUGAAAAGUGUAGAUAUCUGGAGGAACACCCCUGGGGAAGGGGGGUCUCUGGGCUGUCCCUGACGCUGAGGGGCGAAAGCGUGGGGGGCAAACACGAUUUGAUACCCC
rnacentral:rRNA from 1 species